GAUGAACGCUGGCGGCGUGCCUAAUACAUGCAAGUCGAGCGAACAGACGAGGAGCUUGCUCCUCUGACGUUAGCGGCGGACGGGUGAGUAACACGUGGAUAACCUACCUAUAAGACUGGGAUAACUUCGGGAAACCGGAGCUAAUACCGGAUAAUAUAUUGAACCGCAUGGUUCAAUAGUGAAAGACGGUUUUGCUGUCACUUAUAGAUGGAUCCGCGCCGCAUUAGCUGGUUGGUAAGGUAACGGCUUACCAAGGCAACGAUGCGUAGCCGACCUGAGAGGGUGAUCGGCCACACGGGAACGGAGACACGGUCCAGACGCCUACGGGAGGCAGCAGUAGGGAAUCUUCCGCAAUGGGCGAAAGCCUGACGGAGCAACGCCGCGUGAGUGAUGAAGGUCUUCGGAUCGUAAAACUCUGUUAUUAGGGAAGAACAAAUGUGUAAGUAACUAUGCACGUCUUGACGGUACCUAAUCAGAAAGCCACGGCUAACUACGUG
rnacentral:rRNA from 1 species